CGCGUCCACCCAAAAAUGCCGUUCGUCUACUGCCGGAGCACGCGAAGCCGCCCUCUGACGUCAGCUAGGCUGGAAAGCCGACGGUAAGCUCUUCUCCCCCGCUCAGUACGUAAGCCGCUUGGUUUGACCGAUUAAUCGCCGAUUGUCCGUUAAAUUGGGCGGCUAGCUACCAGCUUACACAGUCAUCACGGCUUAGAUGAGCCAUCGGCUAAUCGAUCGGCUUUGUCCGAUUACCGAGCGUGUGGCCCGAUUAAUCGUCCAGAGAGGCCGAUAAGCCGGCCUGUCGAGUAGGGGAUAUGGUUAGGAAGAUUUUUUCAGUUUGGGCUUCAAAUCCUUUGAAAUCAGCACCGCUACUUGUUAUGUAGGCUAAUAAUACUUGAAAUAGUAGUUGUUGUUGCUAUUUUCAGGGUUGUCGGAUUGGAUCGAUCCAGUAUGGCUACACGAGGACGACAAAUAUUCUGGAUUCAAGUGCAAGUACUGCAGGAAACAAUAGAAGAGGGUGGUGCUACACGUUUCAAGCAACACCUUGCAUCGCGUGGGAGAAUAUGCAAUGUUGUCGCAACGUUCCGUGGGUUACUGCUAAAUGUUGUUAUUGGACUUGCGAUAAUGUUUAGGG
rnacentral:lncRNA from 1 species